rfam:Morus notabilis contig15046, whole genome shotgun sequence.
UUGGAAGUGAUGAUUUUUUCCCCAGAUGAUCGACGCUGAUUAUACUGUGCUUUAUUUAUUUUUCUCGUAUGAGAAUCCAAGCCAGAUUUCUGAUCCUU